AGAGUUUGAUCCUGGCUCAGGAUGAACGCUAGCGACAGGCUUAACACAUGCAAGUCGAGGGGCAGCAGGGGAGUAGCAAUACUCCCGCUGGCGACCGGCGCACGGGUGAGUAACACGUAUGCAACCUGCCCUUGUCAGGGGGAUAAGCGGAAGAAAUUCCGUCUAAUACCGCAUAAUGCUGCGGGGAGACAUCUCCCUGCAGCCAAAGAUUUAUCGGACAAGGAUGGGCAUGCGGCGCAUUAGCUGGUUGGCGGGGUAACGGCCCACCAAGGCGACGAUGCGUAGGGGUUCUGAGAGGAAGGUCCCCCACACUGGUACUGAGACACGGACCAGACUCCUACGGGAGGCAGCAGUGAGGAAUAUUGGUCAAUGGCCGGGAGGCUGAACCAGCCAAGUCGCGUGAGGGAAGACGGUCCUAUGGAUUGUAAACCUCUUUUGUCAGGGAGCAAAAACUGCCACGCGUGGCAGGAUGAGAGUACCUGAAGAAAAAGCAUCGGCUAACUCCGUGCCAGCAGCCGCGGUAAUACGGAGGAUGCGAGCGUUAUCCGGAUUUAUUGGGUUUAAAGGGUGCGUAGGCGGACAGUUAAGUCAGCGGUAAAAUUGAGAGGCUCAACCUCUUCCCGCCGUUGAAACUGAUUGUCUUGAGUGGGCGAGAAGUAUGCGGAAUGCGUGGUGUAGCGGUGAAAUGCAUAGAUAUCACGCAGAACUCCGAUUGCGAAGGCAGCAUACCGGCGCCCAACUGACGCUGAAGCACGAAAGCGUGGGUAUCGAACAGGAUUAGAUACCCUGGUAGUCCACGCAGUAAACGAUGAAUACUAAUUGUUCGGGUCAAAUGAGAUCUGAGUGAUACAGCGAAAGCGUUAAGUAUUCCACCUGGGGAGUACGCCGGCAACGGUGAAACUCAAAGGAAUUGACGGGGGCCCGCACAAGCGGAGGAACAUUUGGUUUAAUUCGAUGAUACGCGAGGGACCUUACCCGGGCUCAAACGACACAGGAAUGAUCUGAGAAAUCAGGCAGUCCUCCGGGACCUGUGUCGAGGUGCUGCAUGGUUGUCGUCAGCUCGUGCCGUGAGGUGUCGGCUUAAGUGCCAUAACGAGCGCAACCCCCAUCGACAGUUGCCAGCAGGUGAAGCUGAGCACUCUGUCGAGACUGCCGGCGCAAGCUGUGAGGAAGGCGGGGAUGACGUCAAAUCAGCACGGCCCUUACGUCCGGGGCGACACACGUGUUACAAUGGCAGGUACAGCGGGAAGCCACCUGGCGACAGGGAGCGGAACCCGAAAGCCUGUCUCAGUUCGGAUUGGAGUCUGCAACUCGACUCCAUGAAGCUGGAUUCGCUAGUAAUCGCGCAUCAGCCACGGCGCGGUGAAUACGUUCCCGGGCCUUGUACUCACCGCCCGUCAAG
rnacentral:rRNA from 1 species